GGCGACAUAGCCAAGUGGUAAGGCACGGGCCUGCAAAGCCUUGAUCCCCAGUUCGAAUCUGGGUGUCGCCUCCA
rnacentral:tRNA from 2 species